AUGCGCGCCGCCGGCUUCGGCCCCACCACCGCCACCUACAACGUCCUCCUCAAGGCCCACUGCUCUGAUGCCGACGCUCCUAUCGACCACGCGGUCCGCCUUUUCCGCAACAUCCCCAAACCUGACGCCUGCUCCUACAACACCGUCAUCGACGGGCUCUGCCGCCGCAGCCGCAGGGCCGAGGCCCAGGAGCUGUUCUCCGAGAUGGUAGAAAAUGGCGUUGCGCCCACAGUGGUUACUUACACGACUAUCAUCAAUUGGCUCGCACGGGAGGGCUGCUUGGACGAUGCACUGGAGAUGUUUGACGAAAUGGGAAGGAGAGGUAUUGCACCCAAUGUUAUUACAUAUAGUUCUCUGAUUGAUGGUUUGUGCAAGGGUGGGCGUGCAUCAUCAGCACUGGACUUGUUGGAGAGGUUGACCAAGGAGGUGAAGCUGCCAAAUACAAUCAUAUAUAGUUCUGUCAUUAAUGGCCUCUGUAAGGAGGGCCUGCUGAGGGAGGCAAUGGAGGUUUUGGACCGGAUGCGUCUCCAGGGGAGGAAGCCUGAUGCUGGAUUGUUUGGGAAGCUCAUUGUUGGGCUGUCUGAUGCAGGAAGGGCUGUGGAGGCUGCAAAUUACUUGGAUGAGAUGGUUCUUGCUGGCGUUCAACCGAACCGGGUGACUUGGAGCCUUCAUGUCAGGAUAAACGUUGCAGUGGUGACAGCAUUAUGUGUUAAGGGUGAAGUUGGGAGGGCUUUCCAGGUGUACCAGAGCAUGAGGACUCGUGGCAUUUCUACCGAGCCAAGCAUUUUCCAUCUCCUGGUUGAGUUCUUCUGCAAAAAGAACCAUUUGGAGAAAGCAGCUUGUGUUGUGCUUGACAUGUUGUCAGAGAGGUGCAUCCCUGAGAGGGAAACAUGGGAUGUUAUUGUCAGCGGGUAUUGGAGUAAGAAGAAAGUCAGACAAGAAGCUGAGCAAAUAUGGAACCAAUUAGCAGUUAUCUGA
rnacentral:rRNA from 1 species